rnacentral:rRNA from 1 species
AAAGUGGCACGCGAGCUGGGUUCAAAACGUCGUGAGACAGUUUGGUCCCUAUCUGCCGUGGGCGCUGGAAGAUUGACGGGGGCUGCUCCUAGUACGAGAGGACCGGAGUGGACGGACCGCUGGUGUACCGGUUGUGAUGCCAAUCGCAUUGCCGGGUAGCUAUGUCCGGAAGGGAUAACCGCUGAAAGCAUCUAAGCGGGAAACCUGCCUGAAGAUAAGUCUUCCCGGAGGCUAGACCUCCUUGAAGAGUCGUUCGAGACCAGGACGUUGAUAGGUCAGGUGUGGAAGCGUUGUGAGACGUUAAGCUAACUGAUACUAAUUGCUCGUAAGGCUUGAUCCU